GACCUGCGGAGGGAUCAUUACACAAAU
rnacentral:rRNA from 2 species